UAGCUGUGGUGUCAUGAUGCCUGUUUGAU
rnacentral:piRNA from 1 species